rnacentral:lncRNA from 1 species
AUGGCAUCUGGGAGCUCUAAUCCAGCUGUAGGAUGGUCUGGCCCCUUCUCUGAGGGACUCUCUCAGUCAGAUUCCCUGACACAGGACCGAAUUGGGGAGAAUGUUGGGAGGCGAGCGCUCGUAACAAAAGCCCAGCUUUACAACCCUCCGCCUAUUUCCAGCAUUGUGUGAUCAGAGCGUCUCCUUCUGUUAAAUCCCCCAUCACCUGGAGAAGGUAAAUUAAAACAAACAGCCACAAAAAAACUACUCUGCCAUGCUUAGAUUCAAGUUAAGGCCUCACAGCUGAAUUUUGUUAAAGGAAUCUUUGCUGAGUCCUCUCUGGACCUGAGUCCUUGACAGGAUUCUGUCUGGUCUUUGUCAC